CAUGCCGCGUGCUUACCAUGCAAGUCGAACGGAGAUUCAGCAAUGGAUCUUAGUGGCGAACGGGUGAGUAACGCGUAGGCAAUCUGCCUUCUAGAUGGGGACAACAUCCCGAAAGGGGUGCUAAUACCGAAUGUUGUACCGUUUCCGCAUGGAGAUGAUACUAAAGGUGGCCUCUGAAUAUGCUACCGCUAGAAGAUGAGCCUGCGUCUGAUUAGCUAGUUGGAGGGGUAACGGCCCACCAAGGCUUCGAUCAGUAGCCGGUCUGAGAGGAUGAACGGCCACACUGGGACUGAGACACGGCCCAGACUCCUACGGGAGGCAGCAGUGGGGAAUCUUCCGCAAUGGACGAAAGUCUGACGGAGCAACGCCGCGUGAGUGAAGAAGGUUUUCGGAUCGUAAAGCUCUUUCGUUAGGGACGAACGUGCUCUUUGUGAAUAAUGAGGAGUAAUGACGGUACCUAAAUAAGAAGCCACGGCUAACUACGUGCCAGCAGCCGCGGUAAUACGUAGGUGGCAAGCGUUGUCCGGAAUUAUUGGGCGUAAAGCGCGCGCAGGCGGGAUAUCAAGUCUGUCUUAAAAGUGCGAGGCUCAACCUCGUGAGGGGACGGAAACUGGUAUUCUUGAGUGUCGGAGAGGAAAGUGGAAUUCCAAGUGUAGCGGUGAAAUGCGUAGAGAUUUGGAAGAACACCAGUGGCGAAAGCGACUUUCUGGACGAUGUCUGACGCUGAGGCGCGAAAGCUAGGGGAGCGAACGGGAUUAGAUACCCCGGUAGUCCUAGCCGUAAACGAUGGGUACUAGUGUAGGGGUAUCGACCCCUCCUG
rnacentral:rRNA from 1 species